UUACUCUUGGCAUGUGAGCAUUGACUAUCGGAAUUUUGAGCAUCAAUAGUCUCCCACCUAGAGGGGAUUCGACCUGUGGACCUCAUUUUCGGUGUAGACUUCACCCUUUUAGGUGCCCCCUUGGUGGCCAAUUUUCUCGGAGGUGGCUUCAACAUUGUUUCCUCCGGAAAUCCAAGUUCACGCAACUUGUAUUUGAUGAACAGUUUCAUCUUGUAAGGGGCCCUCUUGAUACGUUUUUGAACGGCGUCCCAUUCCUCCGUAACGGAAAAAUUGGCAUCAACCUCUUCUCCAAUUACACUUAAC
rnacentral:lncRNA from 1 species